rnacentral:rRNA from 1 species
CAGGAUUAGAUACCCUGGUAGUCCACGCCGUAAACGAUGUCGACUUGGAGGUUGUUCCCUUGAGGAGUGGCUUCCGGAGCUAACGCGUUAAGUCGACCGCCUGGGGAGUACGGCCGCAAGGUUAAAACUCAAAUGAAUUGACGGGGGCCCGCACAAGCGGUGGAGCAUGUGGUUUAAUUCGAUGCAACGCGAAGAACCUUACCUACUCUUGACAUCCAGCGAACUUGGCAGAGAUGCCUUGGUGCCUUCGGGAACGCUGAGACAGGUGCUGCAUGGCUGUCGUCAGCUCGUGUUGUGAAAUGUUGGGUUAAGUCCCGCAACGAGCGCAACCCUUAUCCUUUGUUGCCAGCGAUUCGGUCGGGAACUCAAAGGAGACUGCCGGUGAUAAACCGGAGGAAGGUGGGGAUGACGUCAAGUCAUCAUGGCCCUUACGAGUAGGGCUACACACGUGCUACAAUGGCGCAUACAAAGAGAAGCGACCUCGCGAGAGCAAGCGGACCUCAUAAAGUGCGUCGUAGUCCGGAUCGGAGUCUGCAACUCGACUCCGUGAAGUCGGAAUCGCUAGUAAUCGUGGAUCAGAAUGCCACGGUGAAUACGUUCCCGGGCCUUGUACACACCGCCCGUCACACCAUGGGAGUGGGUUGCAAAAGAAGUAGGUAGCUUAACCCUCGGGAGGGCGCUUACCACUUUGUGAUUCAUGACUGGGGUGAAGUCGUAACAAGGUAGCAUC